AUUGAACGCUGGCGGCAUGCUUUACACAUGCAAGUCGAACGGCAGCGCGGGCUUCGGCCUGGCGGCGAGUGGCGAACGGGUGAGUAAUACAUCGGAACGUGCCCAGUAGUGGGGGAUAGCUCGGCGAAAGCCGGAUUAAUACCGCAUACGACCUGAGGGUGAAAGCGGGGGAUCUUCGGACCUCGCGCUAUUGGAGCGGCCGAUGGCAGAUUAGCUAGUUGGUGGGGUAAAGGCCUACCAAGGCGACGAUCUGUAGCUGGUCUGAGAGGACGACCAGCCACACUGGGACUGAGACACGGCCCAGACUCCUACGGGAGGCAGAAGUGGGGAAUGUUGGACAAUGGGCGAAAGCCUGAUCCAACAAUGCCGCGUGUGUGAUGAAGGCCUUCGGGUUGUAAAGCACUUUUGGCGGGAACGAAAAGGACUGUGCCAAUACCACGGUUCGAUGACGGUACCCGCAGAAUAAGCACCGGCUAACUACGUG
rnacentral:rRNA from 1 species